UUUUUUUUUUUUUUUAAAGCAUUUAGUGUUUAUAGAUUUAUUUAUUUAGUAUUUAUUGGGUACCUACCAUGGGAAUUGUGGAUAUUUCAGGAAGUAUAAGGUACUAUUCCUUCCCCUUCUCUCAUUGUGGCUACUGCAACGGCCUUUUUACAAUGAUCUUUUUUACUAACACCCUACUUCAAUCCAUUAUUCACACAAUAGCCACAGUCAUCUUUUAAAUGAUAAGUCAUAACAUGGUAUUUCUUCAUUUAAAACACUCUGUAGGGGCACGUGGGUGGCUCAGUGGUUGAGCGUCUGCCUUCGGCUCAGGGCGUGAUCCCGGGGCCCUAGGAUCGAGUCCCACAUGGGGCUCCCCAUGAGGAGCCUGCUUCUCCCUCUGCCUGUGUCUCUGCCUCUCUCUGUGUGUGUCUCAUGAAUAAAUACAUAAAAUCUUUUAAAAAAAAAAUAAAACACUCUGUGGCUUCCUGUUAGAGAAUAAAAUCCUUUUUAUCCUGCAUAGAGGAUAAAAUCCAAACUAUGAUUUAAAAGAUUCACGAAGGGCAGCCCAGCCUGAGACAGCUUGAUUUUUGUUUAUCUUUACACUUAAUGUGCUUUAUUUUGAAUUUACUGUUUACAUGCAGAAGGGUGCAGUAUCACAGGAGCUGGAGUCCUAAGUGAGCUCAACUGCUUCUGAACUGUUAGGCCCCUGCUCUCAAAGCAAAGUGAGCCUGCAGGUGUCAUGGAUCCACAGUAUAACUAAAAGUUCUCUCAAUUCUUCCCUAUAGAAUGCAAUGUAAUUAAAGAAUAAAAUUGGGAUCCCUGGGUGGCACAGCGGUUUGGCACCUGCCUUUGGCCCAGGGCGCAAUCCUGGAGACCCGGGAUCGAAUCCCACGUCGGGCUCCCGGUGCAUGGAGCCUGCUUCUCUCUCUGCCUGUGUCUCUGCCUCUCUCUCUCUCUCUCUCUCUGUGAGACUAUCAUAAAUAAAUAAAAAUUAAAAAAAAAAAGAAUAAAAUUUAAACAUGCUUAUUUAAAAGUUACAUAUAUAUAUAUAAGAGUCACUACAGCAAUCUUUAUUUUUAGAACUUAGGCCAACAAAAGAGAUUUUUGGGGAGAAAUGUUUUAUAACUGACAAACUGAUGUUAUUUAAAAUUGCCAGCACACAAUGACAUUAAAAAGCAGACCAACUUUCAGGUGACUGGUGUUUUAAAAUUCCUCUACAGGCUAACAUAGCACUUUACUCCCCUCACCAAUGCACAUGAUACUCUAUCACAAUAAAAAAGUUGUAAGUGCUGUGAUACAGGGAAACACAGGUACUGUGGGAACAGAAACAAGGGCAAAGGAGGAGGAGAAGAACAAUGGAAGUAUAAUGUCCCAGAAGCCAAGGGAGUAGGAAUUCCAAGAAAUAUGAAGUCAGCAGUUAGUUGCAACCAAUACUGCAAAGGAGCCCUCCUCUGAAUUGGGUGCUAGGGCCAAUGUGAGUAAGGCCUAGAGAUCUCCCUUUACUACAUGGAAAGGUAAAACUAACUCUGCCUUCCUCUGGCCGGCAUGUAAGUUAGUUCAAAGGGAAAAUUCUUAUCUUUGGUCUUAACUAUUUCUUAUUAUCAGAGGCAGAAAGAUAGAAGAGCACAUAUUGGGACACCUGGGUGGCUCAGCAGUUUGGCACCUGCCUUAAGCCCAGGGCAUGAUCCUGGAGACCCGGGAUCGAGUCCCAGGUCGUGUUCCCUGCACAGAGCCUGCUUCCCUCUCUCUCUACCUCUCUCUCUGUACCACUCAUGAAUGAAUAAAUAAAAUCUUAAAAAGAAGAAGAAGAAGAAGAAGAAGAAGAAGAAGAAGAGGAGGAGGAGGAGGAGGAGGAGCACCACAUAUUAUAUUAAGCCAAUGGCAGGUCUGCAUUCUCUAGACCCUAAUCCUGCACAGAACUCAGCUAAUGGCCAGCACUGGCCCUGGCCAGUGCCUGAGAAGGGAAGAGAGCCCACUUAGAAGAUGGGUUUAGGAACAGAGUCUUCUGGCCUGCUCCUACUUGGCCAUAGCGCCAAAUCUCAUAUAAAUAACCACAAACAGAACUGCUUAAGUGGAAUACAAUUUAAUCCUCACAUCUGCUCUCUGUUCACCCCGCCGUGCUCACUUGAAUAAAGCAGGAAGCAUUUGGCCACCAUAAAGUCUCUUUUCAUGUUUAAACUCCCUUCACUAGGUAGCUCCUGCACCUGUACUUUUUGGAUGGUGAAGCUGAAAUAGCCAUCAGUUAAUUUAAUCUUUUUAUAAACUAAUUCAGAAAAGAAAAUUAACUUUUUAAGAAACAACAACAAAAUCAGACACUUUCACAGCAAUUGUGACUAUCCAUCCCAUUCCACUUUGCAUUCGGAAGAAACAGAACCAAUCAGUAAUGAGUUCUAGAACUACAGAAAUCAUCCAGCUUUAUCAAAUCAUCUCUCUAAGAUUCAAUCUUUAAAGGCUAGGUCAUGGGCCUUUCCUGUAAUAUAGUCUUCCAAAUUGUCUUUUUUUUUUUUUUAAUUGUCCUUUUUUAUUUAAGUGGAGUCCAAUUCAGGGCUUGAACUCAUGACCCUGAGAUCAAGACCUGAGCUGAGAUCAAGAGCCGGAUGUUUAACUAACUGAGCCACCCAGGUGCCCCCAAAUUGUCUGUCUAAUAUAAACUUCUUUAGAAGUUUUUAAAUUUACAGAAAAAUUGCAAAGAUAGUACAGGCAGUUCCCAUAUUCCUCACACCCAGUUGCCCCUAUGAUUUACAUCUUAUUUUAAGUAUGCUGCAUUUGUUAUAACUAAUGAGCCAAUGUUGAUACACUAUUACUAACUCAAGUUCAUACUUUAUUCAGAUUUCUUUAGUUUUUUCACCUAACAUCCUUGAUCUAUUCUAGCACCUCCAAACUACGUUUUAAAUCAUAAACUGGAUUUUUAAAUUGUAAAAAUAGUACAUACAUAUGUUACCUAUUCAAAUACUGCAGAAGAGCAUAAAAUAAAAAGUACUAUUUCUACUUUCC
rnacentral:lncRNA from 1 species